rnacentral:rRNA from 1 species
GAGUUUGAUCCUGGCUCAGGAUGAACGCUGGCGGCGUGCCUAAUACAUGCAAGUCGAACGCGCAGCGAGAGGUGCUUGCACCUUUCAAGCGAGUGGCGAACGGGUGAGUAACACGUGGAUAACCUGCCUCAAGGCUGGGGAUAACAUUUGGAAACAGAUGCUAAUACCGAAUAAAACUUAGUAUCGCAUGAUAUCAAGUUAAAAGGCGCUACGGCGUCACCUAGAGAUGGAUCCGCGGUGCAUUAGUUAGUUGGUGGGGUAAAGGCUUACCAAGACGAUGAUGCAUAGCCGAGUUGAGAGACUGAUCGGCCACAUUGGGACUGAGACACGGCCCAAACUCCUACGGGAGGCUGCAGUAGGGAAUCUUCCACAAUGGGCGCAAGCCUGAUGGAGCAACGCCGCGUGUGUGAUGAAGGCUUUCGGGUCGUAAAGCACUGUUGUAUGGGAAGAAAUGCUAAAAUAGGGAAUGAUUUUAGUUUGACGGUACCAUACCAGAAAGGGACGGCUAAAUACGUGCCAGCAGCCGCGGUAAUAAGGGCGA